rnacentral:rRNA from 1 species
GACGGAGGAUGCAAGUGUUAUCCGGAAUCACUGGGCGUAAAGCGUCUGUAGGUGGUUUAAUAAGUCAACUGUUAAAUCUUGAGGCUCAACCUCAAAAUCGCAGUCGAAACUAUUAGGCUAGAGUAUAGUAGGGGUAAAGGGAAUUUCCAAGUGGAGCGGUGAAAUGCGUAGAGAUUGGAAAGAACACCGAUGGCGAAGGCAGCCCCCCUGGGCCAACACUGACGCUCAUGCACGAAAGCGUGGGGAGCAAACAGG